UACGUAGGUGGCAAGCGUUGUCCGGAAUUAUUGGGCGUAAAGCGCGCGCAGGCGGUCCUUUAAGUCUGAUGUGAAAGCCCACGGCUCAACCGUGGAGGGUCAUUGGAAACUGGAGGACUUGAGUGCAGAAGAGGAGAGUGGAAUUCCACGUGUAGCGGUGAAAUGCGUAGAGAUGUGGAGGAACACCAGUGGCGAAGGCGACUCUCUGGUCUGUAACUGACGCUGAGGCGCGAAAGCGUGGGUAGCGAACAGG
rnacentral:rRNA from 1 species